UUAAUACCGGAUAGAUCAAAGAUACUGGAAUGUUCUCUGGUCUAAAGCUCCGGCGCCCAAGGAUGGGUCUGCGGCCUAUCAGGUAGUAGUGGGUGUAACGUACCUACUAGCCUGCGACGGGUACGGGUUGUGAGAGCAAGAUCCCGGAGAUGGAUUCUGAGACAUGAAUCCAGGCCCUACGGGGUGCAGCAGGCGCGAAACCUUUACACUGCGGGAAACCGCGAUAAGGGGACCCCGAGUGCCAGCACCUAGUGCUGGCUGUCCCGCUGUCCAAACAACAGCGGUUAGCAAGGGCCGGGCAAGACCGGUGCCAGCCGCCGCGGUAACACCGGCGGCCCGAGUGGUAGCCGCUAUUAUUGGGUUUAAAGGGUCCGUAGCCGGCCUGUUAAGUCUCUUGGGAAAUCUGGCGGCUCAAUCGUCAGGCGUUCA
rnacentral:rRNA from 1 species